rnacentral:rRNA from 1 species
UACGGGAGGCAGCAGUGAGGAAUAUUGGUCAAUGGACGCAAGUCUGAACCAGCCAAGUAGCGUGCAGGAUGACGGCCCUCCGGGUUGUAAACUGCUUUUAGUUGGGAAUAAAGUGCAGCUCGUGAGCUGUUUUGUAUGUACCAUCAGAAAAAGGACCGGCUAAUUCCGUGCCAGCAGCCGCGGUAAUACGGAAGGUCCAGGCGUUAUCCGGAUUUAUUGGGUUUAAAGGGAGCGCAGGCGGACUCUUAAGUCAGUUGUGAAAUACGGCGGCUCAACCGUCGGACUGCAGUUGAUACUGGGAGUCUUGAGUGCACACAGGGAUGCUGGAAUUCAUGGUGUAGCGGUGAAAUGCUCAGAUAUCAUGAAGAACUCCGAUCGCGAAGGCAGGUAUCCGGGGUGCAACUGACGCUGAGGCUCGAAAGUGCGGGUAUCAAACAGGAUUAGAUACCCUGGUAGUCCGCACAGUAAACGAUGAAUACUCGCGGUUGGCGAUACAUUGUCAGCCGCCAAGCGAAAGCGUUAAGUAUUCCACCUGGGGAGUACGCCGGCAACGGUGAAACUCAAAGGAAUUGACGGGGGCCCGCACAAGCGGAGGAACAUGUGGUUUAAUUCGAUGAUACGCGAGGAACCUUACCCGGGCUUGAACUGUAGGCGAACGAUUCAGAGAUGAAGAGGCCCUUCGGGGCGCCUAUGGAGGUGCUGCAUGGUUGUCGUCAGCUCGUGCCGUGAGGUGUCGGCUUAAGUGCCAUAACGAGCGCAACCCUUGCCGAUAGUUACUAACAGGUUAUGCUGAGGACUCUGUCGGGACUGCCAUCGUAAGAUGUGAGGAAGGUGGGGAUGACGUCAAAUCAGCACGGCCCUUACGUCCGGGGCUACACACGUGUUACAAUGGGCGGUACAGAGGGCAGCCACCACGCGAGUGGGAGCUAAUCCUCAAAGCCGUUCUCAGUUCGGACUGGAGUCUGCAACCCGACUCCACGAAGCUGGAUUCGCUAGUAAUCGCGCAUCAGCCAUGGCGCGGUGAAUACGUUCCCGGGCCUUGUACACACCGCCCGUCAAGCCAUGAAAGCCGGGGGUACCUGAAGUGCGUAACCGCAAGGAGCGCCCUAGGGUAAAACUGGUGAUUGGGGCUAAGUCGUAACAAGGUAGCCGUACCGGAAGGUGCGGCUG